rnacentral:rRNA from 1 species
CUGAUUUUGGGGACAAUCCGAUCUUGUCUGAUCUCGGAAGCUAAGCAGGGUCGGGCCUGGUUAGUACUUGGAUAGGAGGUUUUGGGGACAAGAUCUGGU